rnacentral:rRNA from 1 species
GAUGAACGCUAGCUGGAGGCUUAAUACAUGCAAGUCGAGCGGGAUUGGGUAGCAAUACCCAUGAGAGCGGCGCACGGGUGAGUAACGCGUACACGACCUACCCCUAACAGGGGGAUAGCCCUGGGAAACUGGGAUUAAUACCGCAUAUUAUUCUGAAUAAUAAAGGUUUGGAAUGAAAGCUGAGGCGGUUAGAGAUGGGUGUGCGUCUGAUUAGCUAGUUGGUAGGGUAACGGCCUACCAAGGCGAUGAUCAGUAGGGGGCGUGAGAGCGUGGUCCCCCACACGGGUACUGAGACACGGACCCGACUCCUACGGGAGGCAGCAGUAAGGAAUAUUGGUCAAUGGGCGAAAGCCUGAACCAGCCAUCCAGCGUGCAGGAAGAAGGCCCUAUGGGUUGUAAACUGCUUUUAUCAGGGAAGAAACCUCUGGAUUUACUCCGGAGCUGACGGUACCUGAAGAAUAAGCACCGGCUAACUCCGUGCCAGCCGCCGCAGUAAAAC